rnacentral:rRNA from 1 species
AACGAACGCUGGCGGCAUGCCUAACACAUGCAAGUCGAACGAACCCUUCGGGGUUAGUGGCGCACGGGUGCGUAACGCGUGGGGAUCUGCCCUUUGCUUCGGAAUAACAGUUAGAAAUGACUGCUAAUACCGGAUGAUGUCGAAAGACCAAAGAUUUAUCGGCAAAGGAUGAACCCGCGUAGGAUUAGCUAGUUGGUAGGGUAAAGGCCUACCAAGGCGACGAUCCUUAGCUGGUCUGAGAGGAUGAUCAGCCACACUGGGACUGAGACACGGCCCAGACUCCUACGGGAGGCAGCAGUGGGGAAUAUUGGACAAUGGGCGAAAGCCUGAUCCAGCAAUGCCGCGUGAGUGAUGAAGGCCUCGGUU